rnacentral:rRNA from 1 species
ACUAAGCGUACACGGUGGAUGCCCUGGCAGUCAGAGGCGAUGAAGGGCGUGCUAAUCUGCGAUAAGCGCCGGUAAGGUGAUAUGAACCGUUAUAACCGGCGAUACCCGAAUGGGGAAACCCAGUGUGAUUCGUCACACUAUCAUUAACUGAAUCCAUAGGUUAAUGAGGCGAACCGGGGGAACUGAAACAUCUAAGUACCCCGAGGAAAAGAAAUCAACCGAGAUUCCCCCAGUAGCGGCGAGCGAACGGGGAGGAGCCCAGAGCCUGAAUCAGCAUGUGUGUUAGUGGAAGCGUCUGGAAAGGCGCGCGAUACAGGGUGACAGCCCCGUACACAAAAGCGCAUGUGCUGUGAGCUCGAUGAGUAGGGCGGGACACGUGGUAUCCUGUCUGAAUAUGGGGGGACCAUCCUCCAAGGCUAAAUACUCCUGACUGACCGAUAGUGAACCAGUACCGUGAGGGAAAGGCGAAAAGAACCCCGGCGAGGGGAGUGAAAAAGAACCUGAAACCGUGUACGUACAAGCAGUGGGAGCACAGGUUUACCUGUGUGACUGCGUACCUUUUGUAUAAUGGGUCAGCGACUUAUAUUCUGUAGCAAGGUUAACCGAAUAGGGGAGCCGGAGGGAAACCGAGUCUUAAUUGGGCGUUAAGUUGCAGGGUAUAGACCCGAAACCCGGUGAUCUAGCCAUGGGCAGGUUGAAGGUUGGGUAACACUAACUGGAGGACCGAACCGACUAAUGUUGAAAAAUUAGCGGAUGACCUGUGGCUGGGGGUGAAAGGCCAAUCAAACCGGGAGAUAGCUGGUUCUCCCCGAAAGCUAUUUAGGUAGCGCCUCGUGAAUUCAUCUCCGGGGGUAGAGCACUGUUUCGGCUAGGGGGCCAUCCCGGCUUACCAACCCGAUGCAAACUGCGAAUACCGGAGAAUGUUAUCACGGGAGACACACGGCGGGUGCUAACGUCCGUCGUGAAGAGGGAAACAACCCAGACCGCCAGCUAAGGUCCCAAAGUCAUGGUUAAGUGGGAAACGAUGUGGGAAGGCCCAGACAGCCAGGAUGUUGGCUUAGAAGCAGCCAUCAUUUAAAGAAAGCGUAAUAGCUCACUGGUCGAGUCGGCCUGCGCGGAAGAUGUAACGGGGCUAAACCAUGCACCGAAGCUGCGGCAGCGACACUGUGUGUUGUUGGGUAGGGGAGCGUUCUGUAAGCCUGUGAAGGUGGCCUGUGAGGGUUGCUGGAGGUAUCAGAAGUGCGAAUGCUGACAUAAGUAACGAUAAAGCGGGUGAAAAGCCCGCUCGCCGGAAGACCAAGGGUUCCUGUCCAACGUUAAUCGGGGCAGGGUGAGUCGACCCCUAAGGCGAGGCCGAAAGGCGUAGUCGAUGGGAAACAGGUUAAUAUUCCUGUACUUGGUGUUACUGCGAAGGGGGGACGGAGAAGGCUAUGUUGGCCGGGCGACGGUUGUCCCGGUUUAAGCGUGUAGGUGUGUGUUCCAGGUAAAUCCGGUUCACUUUAACACUGAGGCGUGAUGACGAGGCACUACGGUGCUGAAGCAACAAAUGCCCUGCUUCCAGGAAAAGCCUCUAAGCAUCAGGUAACAUCAAAUCGUACCCCAAACCGACACAGGUGGUCAGGUAGAGAAUACCAAGGCGCUUGAGAGAACUCGGGUGAAGGAACUAGGCAAAAUGGUGCCGUAACUUCGGGAGAAGGCACGCUGACACGUAGGUGAAGUGAUUUACUCAUGGAGCUGAAGUCAGUCGAAGAUACCAGCUGGCUGCAACUGUUUAUUAAAAACACAGCACUGUGCAAACACGAAAGUGGACGUAUACGGUGUGACGCCUGCCCGGUGCCGGAAGGUUAAUUGAUGGGGUCAGCGCAAGCGAAGCUCCUGAUCGAAGCCCCGGUAAACGGCGGCCGUAACUAUAACGGUCCUAAGGUAGCGAAAUUCCUUGUCGGGUAAGUUCCGACCUGCACGAAUGGCGUAAUGAUGGCCAGGCUGUCUCCACCCGAGACUCAGUGAAAUUGAACUCGCUGUGAAGAUGCAGUGUACCCGCGGCAAGACGGAAAGACCCCGUGAACCUUUACUAUAGCUUGACACUGAACAUUGAGCCUUGAUGUGUAGGAUAGGUGGGAGGCUUUGAAGCGUGGACGCCAGUCUGCGUGGAGCCGACCUUGAAAUACCACCCUUUAAUGUUUGAUGUUCUAACGUGGACCCGUAAUCCGGGUUGCGGACAGUGUCUGGUGGGUAGUUUGACUGGGGCGGUCUCCUCCUAAAGAGUAACGGAGGAGCACGAAGGUUGGCUAAUCCUGGUCGGACAUCAGGAGGUUAGUGCAAUGGCAUAAGCCAGCUUGACUGCGAGCGUGACGGCGCGAGCAGGUGCGAAAGCAGGUCAUAGUGAUCCGGUGGUUCUGAAUGGAAGGGCCAUCGCUCAACGGAUAAAAGGUACUCCGGGGAUAACAGGCUGAUACCGCCCAAGAGUUCAUAUCGACGGCGGUGUUUGGCACCUCGAUGUCGGCUCAUCACAUCCUGGGGCUGAAGUAGGUCCCAAGGGUAUGGCUGUUCGCCAUUUAAAGUGGUACGCGAGCUGGGUUUAGAACGUCGUGAGACAGUUCGGUCCCUAUCUGCCGUGGGCGCUGGAGAACUGAGGGGGGCUGCUCCUAGUACGAGAGGACCGGAGUGGACGCAUCACUGGUGUUCGGGUUGUCAUGCCAAUGGCACUGCCCGGUAGCUAAAUGCGGAAGAGAUAAGUGCUGAAAGCAUCUAAGCACGAAACUUGCCCCGAGAUGAGUUCUCCCUGAGACUUAGAGUCUCCUGAAGGAACGUUGAAGACGACGACGUUGAUAGGCCGGGUGUGUAAGCGCAGCGAUGCGUUGAGCUAACCGGUACUAAUGAACCGUGAGGCUUAACC